UCUGAUGAUAAAUGGGGCACUGGAAUAAUAUCAGUUAGCGUCUUAUGAGGAAUGGAGACAUUCACAUAUUAUUGGGCUGCAGCCAGUUCUGUCUGCCUGUGUCUUAUGUAUAUGUUCUAUGUGUGUCAUCCCCCGUUCUGUAAUCAGGCCAUGACAAGUGGCUCAGCGAGCAAGGUCCUGAAGCCUGGAGGUGCUUGAAUUCUGAACGAAAGCUGCAUCCUUUCAGCACGGCGGGACCAAGAUGAUAACCCCUUUGGCUAAUGAGCGAGGCUCUGAGUGGGUUCCCACGCGACGCCUUAAGAGAAGAUAUGGCGAAGAGAAUCCGGACCGAGGAGAUCCUCAGGGAAUUCAGGAACCUCUCCGUGAAGGCGCGGAGUCCAACACCCAGGACAAUGUGUGCGGUCCCCCCAACUUGGGGUCAGCUCAAGAAGUUGACUCAGGAAGCAGAAAAGAUUGUAUUCCAAGUCCAGCAGCCAUGUAAUCCGAGCACCGUGUUUUUGGCUAUGCUGGCCAUAGUCACUUGCCAGGUGGGGCUUACGAAUUCCUCACAUGUCUACUGGGCAUAUGUGCCUUACCCUCCUUUGUUUAAGCCAUUUCCUGGGGAGAGCCUGAAGUUCUGGUUUAUACCAACGACUCUGACUGGAUGCCGGCCCCUUAUCAGUCAUAUUCAUUACACCCUAGUGAGGGAGGUCAGCUGGUCUCUAAUUAUUCACUUAGUGCAGAAGGAUAUCCCAUUUGUUUUGGGGCUAGUGCUCAUUGAAUAUUUCUCAUGAAGCAUGGGGCCCGCAGUAUGAUACUUCAUCUUUUGCAGCCCUUACCGUGCUCUUGUCAGUCAGAGGACUUAGGGGUGUGCCUUAUAUAUAUCUGAAGGGCAGUCACUAUUGCCUCUUUGCUCCAUGCCUCACAUCGAACCUCCGUUGUCUCAUAUAGAGAGGAGUCGAUGUAGAGGGAAGACUUUAAAAUUGUUACAUGAUCAUCCCAAAAUUGUAGAUUGGAGUCCUCAUAGUGACUUUCAUGAAAAGUUCUCUGGUCAUUCCGUGUGAUGGCAUCGGAAGGGAAACCAUUUAAGCGCCACCGCCAACGAGACCAUCAUGUGGCAUGAUAAAGGCCUUUCUCCUCCUCAGCCCCACCUGUUAGGAACUCUACACAUGCAAGGACAGAUAUGGAGAUUGUUGGCAUCCGGAAAGCACAUAAAUAUUAGGCUUGGUAACAUGUCUUUUAAUAAUUCUGUAGGUUUUCAAGUUCAUCUCCACUGUAAUCUUUCACGGUCUCUUCUAGCCUGUGUAUUCUAUCCCUACUUGUUGUUGAUGGGCUCAAUCCAGUGGAAUGAGUCCACAGGACAAGUCUCCUGCCUUAA